rnacentral:rRNA from 1 species
GACGCUAGCGACAGGCCUAACACAUGCAAGUCGAGGGGCAGCACAAGGAGCAAUCUGAGGUGGCGACCGGCGCACGGGUGAGUAACACGUAUGCAACCUGCCUGUAAGCGGGGAAUAACCCGUUGAAAGACGGACUAAUACCGCAUAAUACUAAAUUACUGCAUGGUAAUUUAUUUAGACAUUUAUGGCUUACAGAUGGGCAUGCGCAUGAUUAGCUAGUUGGAGAGGUAACGGCUCCCCAAGGCAACGAUCAUUAGGGGUUCUGAGAGGAAGGUCCCCCCACACUGGUACUGAGACACGGACCAGACUCCUACGGGAGGCAGCAGUGAGGAAUAUUGGUCAAUGGACGAGAGUCUGAACCAGCCAAGUCGCGUGCAGGAAGAAUGUCCUAUGGAUUGUAAACUGCUUUUGCAGGGGAAUAAAGUGCAUCACGUGUGAUGUUUUGUAUGUACUCUGCGAAUAAGGAUCGGCUAACUCCGUGCCAGCCGCCGC